UACGAAGGGGGCUAGCGUUGCUCGGAAUUACUGGGCGUAAAGCGCACGUAGGCGGUCUUUAAGUCGGGGGUGAAAUCCUGGAGCUCAACUCCAGAACUGCCUUCGAUACUGGAAGACUCGAGUCCGGGAGAGGUGAGUGGAACUGCGAGUGUAGAGGUGAAAUUCGUAGAUAUUCGCAAGAACACCAGUGGCGAAGGCGGCUCACUGGCCCGGUACUCGACGCUGAGGUGCGAAAGCGUGGGAGCAAACAGGGAU
rnacentral:rRNA from 1 species